rnacentral:rRNA from 1 species
UACAGAGGUCCCAAGCGUUGUUCGGAUUCAUUGGGCGUAAAGGGUGCGUAGGUGGCGUGGUAAGUCGGGUGUGAAAUUUCAGAGCUUAACUCCGAAACUGCAUUCGAUACUGCCGUGCUUGAGGACUGGAGAGGAGACUGGAAUUUACGGUGUAGCAGUGAAAUGCGUAGAGAUCGUAAGGAAGACCAGUGGCGAAGGCGGGUCUCUGGACAGUUCCUGACACUGAGGCACGAAGGCCAGGGGAGCAAACGGG